AAAAGAAACUUCAGAUACCACAGAUCUGGAGUUAUGUUUUCAAAAAUAAACAACCAUUGGACCAGGAUGGUAUAAAGUCUCCUGCCUUGAGCAGGGGGUUGGACUAGAAGACCUCCGAGGUCCCUUCCAGCAUGCAGCCGGAAAAAAGACUGGAGCUUAGUGUAAAAGAUCAUCCGAGAAAGAAGGGAGCACCACAAUCACACCAGCAGGACUGCCAAGAUUUCAGCCCCGUCAGUUGCAAGCUGCCUGAGCGCAGCUGAAAUCCGAGGCCCUCAAAUAAGAAAAGGCAAAAUACUUCAAGAUUACAAUCAGGGGGCUCAGCUUCUUCUCUGUCCUGAACAAAGGGGACCCUUUCCAGUCUCUGAAGAAAGAUCCCAGAUGGUGACCACCCUUCUUCCUACCUGCAUGAAGCUGGUUCCGGGAAGAUGUGGGAUAAAUUUGGGAUCAAUCAGACUGGACAGCUCGAGAUUCUGAGGUUCCUUACAACCCACCCUUUGAAGGGUGGGGCCUGCCUGGUCUGUUGCGUUAUGCAAUGCAAGGAAAUCUUUCUUGGAAGAAAGAUGCCAUGUGAACCUACGGAAUCUGAUGCAAUGGUGAUCUACUAGGUCGGAGGCCAUGUGGAGCUGAGGACAUAUUGGAGAAAGGGGGGGCUGAGCGCAGGGAUCGGUCCUGGCUCCUUCAGAGCCCCUGGCAGCCAAAGAUUAUUUUGUAUUUUACAUGCACAUAGUUUCAUGAGAGACUGCACUGCUUUUUAUCUUUUACUAACAAAUCCUGCAAUGAUCAGACGCCAUUAAAAAGCAAGCAAACACCAUCUGUUUCAAGAAAACACAAGCAUAAAUGGAAAGCAACAACUUCUAAGCUUUCCAACAACAAACAGCACUAUGCAAAACAGGAGUUAUAUAUAAUGCCAGCCAAAAAUUUCAACAUCUUUUUUGCAAUGCAGUGACCAAAACUGGAUGCAGUAUUCCAGAUGUGGCUUUACUAAGGCCUUUAUAACGCGGUACUAAUACCUUGUAAAACCUCACUUUUCUCCACAUUAAAUUUCAUUUUGUUGGAUAGAGGCCAUUGUUCAAGUCUGUAUUUUUUUGUUUUUAAAUUUUGGGGUUUUAAAAAUUAUUCUGGGCAAACAUAUCCUGCAAACUCUUCCAGCUGGGUAAGUUUAGGAUUCAAUUUCUCCAGUCAAACCCCUUAAUGGAUAUAUUUAAUAAUCAGGUUAACAAUUUGUCCUGCAUUGUGACAACGAUGUCCAGCUUAUACGUCACAACAGGUUUUGCUAACCCACAUCUCUGUUUUGUGAUAGCAAGCUUCACCGCUUAACCCCUCCAGUUUCCUAACUAAAUCCAAAUCUUCCCUAAAACUCUUAAAACUUCCUUUCCAGGGGCUAAAAUAGACUCUGGUUUCUAAAAGCUGC